GCGGCUUUAGCUCAGCUGGGAGAGCAAUUGGUUUACACCCAAUAGGUCGGGGGUUCGAGCCCCUCAGGCCGCA
rnacentral:tRNA from 2 species